GUGUCAGCAGCCGCGGUAAUACGUAGGGUGCGAGCGUUAAUCGGAAUUACUGGGCGUAAAGCGUGCGCAGGCGGUUGUGUAAGACAGGCGUGAAAUCCCCGGGCUCAACCUGGGAAUGGCGCUUGUGACUGCACGGCUAGAGUACGGUAGAGGGGGAUGGAAUUCCGCGUGUAGCAGUGAAAUGCGUAGAUAUGCGGAGGAACACCGAUGGCGAAGGCAAUCCCCUGGACCUGUACUGACGCUCAUGCACGAAAGCGUGGGGAGCAAACAGGAUUAGAUACCCUCGUAGUCC
rnacentral:rRNA from 1 species